GCUGCUGCCACCCAUCCCGGCCACCCCCAGGAGGGACGGAGAUGUCCCACGUGGCGGUGGCACCGUGGCCGUCCCCUCCUGGAAGGGAGCCCGCUGGACCCACGGCCGCAGGCAAGAGAUCCUCAUAGCGUGGGAAAGACGCAAGCUGCCGGCAUCCGACCCGGGGAUUUAU
ensembl:lncRNA